UAGUAUAAAAGAAGACAAAAGGAGACUAGGGGCCCAGUUUGUUAAUCUAAACAAAGUUUAGGUUAAAUAAAAUUUUGAGAUAUUUUUAUUUUUUUAAGAAAGCUUAAAUAAAGAUUCUAAAUUUUGAAAGGGAAACAUCCGGCAUUAAGAAAUAUUAAUUGACGGGCAAAGUUAGUAGUGGAGAGCGAGGGCUUUGUAUUUAAGUUUAAUAAGAUAAAGUUUAUUUAUUAAGCAUUUAUAGUAAAUAAGUCUCUUCUUAUAUAAACAAGAUGGGGGGCCACCGAUAGAGAAGAGUACUGUGAAGGAAAGUUAAAAAUUUUGUCUUUAAAGCAGAUAUUGUUAUCGUACCUUUUGUAUAAGGGGUUUGUAAGAAGUUUUUAGCGAGGCGGGAGCCGUAAUGAGAGUGAGUCUUCUGUAGUUAAAAAUCCCGAAACUAAGUGAUCUAAUUAUGGGCAGCCUGAAGUUAUAUGGGAGUAUAAUGGAGGGGCGAACUGGUAACUGUGGCAAAAGUUUCAGAUGACCUAUAGUUGGUGGUGAGAGACUAAUCGAACUUAGAAAUAGCUGGUUUUCUACGAAAUGUAUUUUAGUAAAGUGAAAAUUUAAAUAAAUCUUAUUUAUGGGGAGUAUAUUUUAGAUUUUCAAUGAGAGCGGGGGCGUAAAGUUGUUGCUCGAGAGGGGAAAAGCCCGGAUAUUAGCUAAAGGCGUGAACAAACAAUUUUUAAGUGCAAAAGGGGGAUUAAUUUAGAUAAAAAGAAAGUGGGCUUGGAAGUAGCCAUCUUAUAAAGAGUGUGUAAUUACAUAAUUUUCAAGUUAUGGCCCUUGAAAAUGCGGGCGACUUAAAAAAGUAUUAAAGCUAUGGGUGUUUAAUAGGGAAAACUAAUACUUCUUUAUAGUAAAUAAACUAUAAAUAAUACUGAUAUUAUCUUUGUAAAUCGGGCGAUUUAAUAAAUUGUCUUACUUAUUAAAAGAAAUAAAAUCUUUCUAUUAAGCAAAAUUUAGGUAGUAGAAUAUACUGUAUUGGAUAAUGAAAAUAGAUCAGUAGAAAUAAUGCAAACAUGAGUAAAAAAUACCUGGGGGUAUUCUACAAAAGUUGUAAAAAUUAAUAGGCGGCUUUUAUUAAUUGUUCGACAUUUUUUAAAACAAUUUGUAAAAAAAAAUAGAGGAUAGUUUAAUAUUAAGAAAUAUUAUUUUGUUUUUUAAUUAUUAUUUUUUUGUAGUAUAAUUUAAGGCUAUCGGGGAUAGUUGAAGAGGAAUGGGGGUUCCGACUGACAAUAGAGGGUAUUUAAAUGAAUGACUUUAUAUUAAGGAAUUCGGCAAAAUGUUUUUGUAAGAUUACGAGAAGAAAAGAGUUUAAUUAAAAAGACUAUAAAGGUUUUUAUAAUUGUCCGACAUUUUUUUAAAAAGCAAUUAGAAAAAAGGUUUUUAUAGAAAAAUAAUUGGCUUUAAUUAGACAAAAAUUAGGAGGUGUCGACUGUUUCGCAAAAACAUAGCUUCUAGUAAAGAAUAGGGGUGAGACCUGUCCAGUGACUAUUUCUAAAUCUCGUUUCGAUUAUAAGGGUAGUUAAACGGCCGCGGUAAUUAUGACCGUGUUAAAGUAGCGCAAUCAAUCGCCAAUUAAUUGUUGGCAAGUAUGAAGGUUUCACGAAUGCCUCACUGUCUCAAUAUAAAGUUUAUUGAAAUUGUAAUUUUAGUGAAGAUACUAAAUAGUAAUUGAAAGACGAGAAGACCCCGUGAGCUUUACUGGAGUGUUAAUUAUUAUUAAUGCAGACAGUUUAGUUGGGGCGACUCCCCUAUAAAGAGUAACUAGGGGGCUUGUGGGUUAAGAAAUAGUUAAACCUAAGACAAUAAGGGGGCCCUCCCAAAUUGGCAUGAUUUCUAGUUAAAAGAGUUUUUACUAAUUUUAAUAAGUAAACCAAUGUUCUUGUUUUGGCUUAUCAAAAUAAAAGGGGGCUUACUAAUUGCACUAGUAGUAAAAAGGUGGGAUAUAUUGAUCCGUAAUUUAUAGAUUACGAGAGCGGCAAAAAGUUACCGCGGGGAUAACAGGGUAAUUUUGUUUGAGAGUUCGUAUCGAAGACGGAGUUUGCUACCUCGAUGUUGAAUUGUGAUAUCCUGAAGGCGCAGGAGUUUUCAAGGGUUGGACUGUUCGUCCAUUAAAAUCGCACAUGAUUUGAGUUCAGACCGGCGUGAGCCAGGUCGGUUUCUAUCUUCAAUUAUUUAAUGUCUUUUAUUUUUUUAGUACGAAAGGAGGAAAAAGAGCUUGUUCUAUGA
rnacentral:rRNA from 1 species